rnacentral:rRNA from 1 species
AUUGAACGCUGGCGGCAGGCCUAACACAUGCACGUCGAGCGGAGCGGCUGACGGGUGAGUAAUGCCUAGGAAUCUGCCUGGUAGUGGGGGAUAACGUCCGGAAACGGGCGCUAAUACCGCAUACUAUCAGAUGAGCCUAGGUCGGAUUAGCUAGUUGGUGGGGUAACGGCCGACCAAGGCGACGCUCCGUAACUGGUCUGAGAGGAUGAUCAGUCACACUGGAACUGAGAAACGGGAGAGAAGCGUACGGGAGGCAGCAGUGGGGAAUAUGGGACAAGGGGCGAAAGCCUGAUCAAGCCAUGCCGGGUGUGUGAAGAAGGUCGUAGGAGUGUAAAGCACUUUAAGUGGGGAGGGGUUACCAACAGAAUAAGCACCGGCUAACUUCGUGCCAGCAGCCGCGGUAAUUC